rnacentral:rRNA from 1 species
AGCUGCAGAAGAAGCACCGGCUAACUCCGUGCCAGCAGCCGCGGUAAUACGGAGGGUGCGAGCGUUAAUCGGAAUUACUGGGCGUAAAGCGCAUGCAGGUGGUUUGUUAAGUCAGAUGUGAAAGCCCGGGGCUCAACCUCGGAAUUGCAUUUGAAACUGGCAAACUAGAGUACUGUAGAGGGGGUAGAAUUUCAGGUGUAGCGGUGAAAUGCGUAGAGAUCUGAAGGAAUACCGGUGGCGAAGGCGGCCCCCUGGACAGAUACUGACACUCAGAUGCGAAAGCGUGGGGAGCAAACAGGUUAGAUACCCUCGGUAG